rnacentral:rRNA from 1 species
CCCAGACUCCUACGGGAGGCAGCAGUGGGGGAUAUUGCACAAUGGGGGGAACCCUGAUGCAGCGACGCCGCGUGGGUGAAGGAGCGUUUCGGCGCGUAAAGCCCUAUCGGCAGGGAAGAAGGAGGACGGUACCUGACUAAGAAGCCCCGGCUAACUACGUGCCAGCAGCCGCGGUAAUACGUAGGGGGCAAGCGUUAUCCGGAUUUACUGGGUGUAAAGGGUGCGUAGGUGGUUUCUUAAGUCAGAGGUGAAAGGCUACGGCUCAACCGUAGUAAGCCUUUGAAACUGGGGAACUUGAGUGCAGGAGAGGAGAGUGGAAUUCCUAGUGUAGCGGUGAAAUGCGUAGAUAUUAGGAGGAACACCAGUGGCGAAGGCGGCUUGCUGGACAGAGACUGACGUUGAGGCUCGAAAGCGUGGGGAGCAAACAGGAUUAGAUACCCGUGUAC